GAAAAAGCACCAAAGAAAAGUAAGAUUAUUUUUUUUGCACUGGGAACUCGUUCUUUGUUCUUGUGGAAAGUCCGGGUUUCAGCUUUUUAGUUCUGAAUGCUCAGAGUGAUUCCAUCACUCAUAUGCGGAGAGCGACAUCUCUGGAAGAUAAGUUUAAAAGCUUUUGGAAUUGUCUAACCAAUUCCCGGUGACUCAAUUGCAGCGGACGAAUCUUUUCUUCGCACAGACAUCGACCUUGUCGCUGACACAACAGAGAAGUGGAACAGAUACUGUGAAGUUAUCUUACUCGUUUUUCCGGCAAUCUGGAUGGAUGGAUGGACGUUUAGCUUGUCUUCGUUUGUCUCGGCACGCUGAUUUUGACCGCUCGCAGGACUUGUGUUUUCUCAAGCCGGAAAGAAGGCCGGAGAGAUAGCACUGACACGAGAAGUGAAGCUUUUCUAUUAUGGCCUUUAAGAGGAAACAAGUUUAUCAUUUUAUCACUGGAGUUCAUCGUGGUGGCCAUGCUACUGCCUUCUAAAGUUUCGAACGCAUUUUGUCAGGAUCAAUGUUUCCGUAGUGUGAAACUCGUGGCGAUUGGAAGAAACUUGAGUUUUGUUCGCCACCACCGACUAUCUGACUCAUUGCUCAGAAAAGAUCGAGUCGUAAAGCGUCAAAGAGGCGGUUCCAAACAAGCUAUCGCCAUUGUCGGACCAGCGUGAAAGGUUUUCGCUCUCGUCUUCUCCAAGUUCUGCCACAGUGUGUGUUGUUCACUGUGGAUCAAAGUUCCGUGCCGACAAAAGCUAUUCUCCCGCUAGUUUGAUCCAUCACUGGGCUUUGAGCUACAAAACAAAAGAGGAGGAUAGGAUUUCGAUCGAGAGAAACUCGUUGCUGUUGCCACAUCGCGAAAGAAUCCACGAAAGGGAUUUGACUUGCGCUAGUGAAAGGCUGCCGCCUCCUCGCUCGCUCGCAGUGGGGUCCAAGCUCUUUAAGAGAGAAAACUAUUUCUCGAUUAAACAAAACCAUUGUCUAAUUCCGUA